rnacentral:rRNA from 1 species
CCUACGGGUGGCAGCAGUGAGGAAUAUUGGUCAAUGGACGAGAGUCUGAACCAGCCAAGUAGCGUGAAGGAUGACUGCCCUAUGGGUUGUAAACUUCUUUUAUAUGGGACUAAAAUGUUCCACGUGUGGGAUUUUGUAUGUACCAUAUGACUAAGGAUCGGCUAACUCCGUGCCAGCAGCCGCGGUAAUACGGAGGAUCCGAGCGUUAGCCGGAUUUAUUGGGUUUAAAGGGAACGUAGGUGGAUUGUUAAGUUAGUUGUGAAAUUUUGCGGCUCAACCGUGAAAUUGCAGUUGAAACUGGCAGUCUUGAGUACAGUAGAGGUGGGCGGAAUUCGUGGUGUAGCGGUGAAAUGCUUAGAUAUCACGAAGAACUCCGAUUGCGAAGGCAGCUCACUGGACUGCAACUGACACUGAGGCUCGAAAGUGUGGGUAUCAAACAGGAUUAGAUACCCGUGUAGUC